rnacentral:rRNA from 1 species
UACGGAGGGUGCAAGCGUUAUCCGGAUUUAUUAGGUUUAAAGGGUCCGUAGGCGGGAUCUUAAGUCAGUGGUGAAAGCCUGCAGCUUAACUGUAGAACUGCCAUUGAUACUGGGAUUCUUGAAUUUGAUUGAGGUAGGCGGAAUGAGAAGUGUAGCGGUGAAAUGCGUAGAUAUUUCUCAGAACACCGAUUGCGAAGGCAGCUUACUAAGUCAAUAUUGACGCUGAUGGACGAAAGCGUAGGUAGCGAACAGG